rnacentral:rRNA from 1 species
GACGAACGCUGGCGGCGUGCUUAACACAUGCAAGUCGAGCGGUAAGGCCCUUUCGGGGGUACACGAGCGGCGAACGGGUGAGUAACACGUGGGUGACCUGCCCUUAGCUCUGGGAUAAGCCUGGGAAACUGGGUCUAAUACCGGAUAUGACUCCAUGACGCAUGUUGUGGGGUGGAAAGCCUUGUGCGGCUAGGGAUGGGCCCGCGGCCUAUCAGCUUGUUGGUGGGGUGANGGCCUACCAAGGCGACGACGGGUAGCCGGCCUGAGAGGGCGACCGGCCACACUGGGACUGAGACACGGCCCAGACUCCUACGGGAGGCAGCAGGUGGGGAAUCUUGCGCAAUGGGCGAAAGCCUGACGCAGCGACGCCGCGUGGGGA